AUUGAACGCUGGCGGCAUGCCUAACACAUGCAAGUCGAGCGAGCGGCGGACGGGUGAGUAAUGUAUGGGGACCGCCCGCUAGCGGGGGGUAACCACUGGAAACGGUGGCCAAUACCGCCAUCUGUCGGAUAACCCAUAUGGGAUUAGCUAGUAGGUAAGGUAAUGGCUUACCUAGGCGACGAUCCCUAGCUGGUCUGAGAGGAUGAUCAGCCACACUGGGACGGAGAAACGGCCCAGACUCCUACGGAGGCAGCAGUGGGGAAUAUUGCACAAGGGGCGCAAGCCUGAUGCAGCCAUGCGGCGUGUACCAGGAAGGCCCUAGGGUCGUAAAGUACGUCCAGUCGGGAGGCGUUACCUACAGAAGAAGCACCGGCUAACUCCGUGCCAGCAGCCGCGGUAAUAC
rnacentral:rRNA from 1 species